rnacentral:rRNA from 1 species
UACGUAGGGUGCGAGCGUUAAUCGGAAUUACUGGGCGUAAAGUGUGCGCAGGCGGCAAAGCAAGUCGAGUGUGAAAGCCCCGGGCUUAACCCGGGAAUGGCAUUGAAUACUGCUGAUCUGGAGGAUCGGAGGGGGGACUGGAAUUCUUGGUGUAGCAGUGAAAUGCGUAGAUAUCAAGAGGAACACCGAUGGCGAAGGCAGCCCCCUGGGUUAACACUGACGCUCAGGCACGAAAGCGUGGGGAGCAAACAGG